rnacentral:lncRNA from 1 species
AUGGUCAGGCUGUGUGAGUACCGGAGAGGCUUGGUGACUGGGAAUCUUUUCUUUCUCCUAGCUGAGUUCCUGUUCUGGGCUUCAUUCUGCAUGACCCAUCUCAGCAGGAGGGCCAGGGACCUCAUCCUCUAUGGCACCAAGGAAUUCAGCUUCCUGCAGCUCUCAGAUGCCUACAGGUUCGUCUCCAACUCCUGACCUCAAGGGAUCCUUCUGCCUCAGCCUUUCAAAGCACUGGGAUGUCAGGUGUGAGCCACCACUCCUGGCCACAUAUGCUUCUCUCCAGGUAUUUUAAUGUAAUUUUUCAUCUUGUAUGUACACUUUUGAAUGCCGCC